AGCGAACGCUGGCGGCAUGCCUAACACAUGCAAGUCGAACGAGAUCCUUCGGGGUCUAGUGGCGCACGGGUGCGUAACGCGUGGGAAUCUGCCCUUUGCUUCGGAAUAACAGUUAGAAAUGACUGCUAAUACCGGAUGAUGUCUUCGGACCAAAGAUUUAUCGGCAAGGGAUGAGCCCGCGUAGGAUUAGGUAGUUGGUGGGGUAAAGGCCUACCAAGCCGACGAUCCUUAGCUGGUCUGAGAGGAUGAUCAGCCACACUGGGACUGAGACACGGCCCAGACUCCUACGGGAGGCAGCAGUGGGGAAUAUUGGACAAUGGGCGCAAGCCUGAUCCAGCAAUGCCGCGUGAGUGAUGAAGGCCUUCGGGUCGUAAAGCUCUUUUACCAGGGAUGAUAAUGACAGUACCUGGAGAAUAAGCUCCGGCUAACGCCGUGCCAGCAGCCGCCGUAAUAC
rnacentral:rRNA from 1 species